rnacentral:rRNA from 1 species
UAGCGUAUAUUAAAGUUGUUGCAGUUAAAAAGCUCGUAGUUGAACUUCGGAACCGGUCGAUUGGUCCGUCCUCUGGAUUGUGUACUGAUCGAUCUGUUCUUCUUCGCGAAGACCGCGUGUGCCCUUAACUGGGUGUGCACGGGAUUCACGACGUUUACUUUGAAAAAAUUAGAGUGUUCAAAGCAGGCAUUCGCUUGAAUAUCUCAGCAUGGAAUAAUAGAAUAGGACUUUGGUCUUAUUUUGUUGGUUUCCGAGACCGAAGUAAUGAUUAAUAGGGACAGUUGGGGGCAUUCGUAUUUCAUUGUCAGAGGUGAAAUUCUUGGAUUUAUGAAAGACGAACUUCUGCGAAAGCAUUUGCCAAGGAUGUUUUCAUUAAUCAAGAACGAAAGUUGGAGGCUCGAAGACGAUCAGAUACCGUCCUAGUUCCAACCAUAAACGAUGCCGUCUGCGGAUCAGCGGUCGCUCAUUUAAGGCUCCGUUGGCACGCUAUGAGAAAUCAAAGACUUCGGGUUCCGGGGGGAGUAUGUUC